GUCGCCGAUAGCACGUGACUCCGGGUCGACCCUGCAAUUGGAGAGCCCUGGCCCCGCCCCUGACCCUGGAGUUGGCCCCGCCCACCGAUCUGGGGAGGGAGCCAUUUUCACGGUUCCGCCCUGGAGGGCAGCAGGUGGUGUUGAGCCCAUCCGGACGCUGACUGAGCUCGGUUGAGGCCUCUGUGUAAACUGCAAGCUUCUGGCGGUGGGGGCGGAGAGGUGCCCCUCCCCAGGUUCCCUGGCUGCUUAAAACUGCCCCUGGGGUGGCCUGCCUCCGUCUCCUGUGUCUCUCUGUGCUGCGUGCGCUCCGUGCGCUGGCCGGUUUCGGAUGCCAGGGGGACCCGGGCGUUGGCACCUGCAGGGCUCAGGACUUCACCCCCAGCUCCGGAGGGGCGGCGGGCCAUCAACUGAGUGGGGAAGACGAAAGAAGAGCCGCCUUGUGGGCUAGAAGGCUGAGCCCCAGAGAUGAAGAACCUACCAGCCUGCUCUGCAGUCAGCUCCCCAGCACCAGCUUACACGAGCUGAGUAACCUUAGAGGAAAUCGCUGAAGCUCAGAGAGGUUGGGUCACUUUCCUGACAUCACACCGUAACCGGCAGAGCUCAGAGUGGACCCCAACCUGAGAUCAGAGAGGUAGCAACACCCCCUAACCAGCGGACACGCGAGGGCUGGCACAGUUUUCUGCGGGCCCGUCUUAGGAUCGGGAAGCAGCCAGCUCCGUGUGCAGAGUGGGGCUGGAUAAACGCUUUAGAGGCGGCGGCCAGAGCCGGGUCUGGAAUCCGUCCUCGGUCCCGGACUCCAGCACGUUGAUGCCACAUGGGGAGGGGCACAAAGGGAGCUGGUUUUGAGAUGCAGCGACGUGACAGCAGCCUCUUCACGCUCAGAUUUCCUAUCAGUGCCUUGGUCUGGAAUAAAAGAUGUGCCACAGCUGCUGCGUCCCCGCGUCAGAGAGGUCGUGGGCAGUCGUAUCCACGCCGUGCUUUCUUUCCCUUGCGUUCUGGCUCUGGAACAGUCACGGUUUCGGUUUGAGCCAUCCAGGAGGCCGUUGCAAGCCUGUUAACAGUUCUGGGCUUCAUUCAUGUGUAUCAGAGAAGUGCAGGGCUCUGUCGUUAACACGCAUUGACGGGUGGCGAUGGCAACCCACAAAGGGUUCAAGCCGCCUCCACUUUAGGGUCAAGAGUACAGACGCGUGCGUGUGUGCGUGAGAGAGAGAGCAGGCGACCCCCCCACUUAAUCGGCAAUUUCUCUCUCCUCCCGUUGUGCCACACAUACACGCACACGUGUGC